CUGAGCCAGGCCUACCAAGAUACCAAAUUUCAAUUGUAGCUAUUUAUUUCCAAGUCAAAAGCGUUUGCUUUAAUAGUUGGACAAGAAAUUUGAGCUUGUUGGCUUCCUUAAUUGUUGUCCUACAGGGACAAACAUAACACUAGGAGAAUGCUUUUCACAUCCAUAUAUAAUCAAGCUAAUAAAUUCUUCUUUUGUUGGAUCUGAUUGUCUGAAUGAUACGAACUGAUUCUUUUCAGUGACAGGUGGAAAGCAGAAAAGACAGAUUAUGUUGGCUUAUGAAGAGGUUAAAUCCCAAAAAAUAUUUUGCGCCAAUGGGUGGGGCAGGGGUCGAUUCCGAGUUUCACAGAAGACCGACGAAGUAAGAAUGAAUUACAGUUGUUGCUGUGGCGAGGGUAUUUUGCUAUGAGGAUUGACCACAGUUAGCCAAUGAACUGAACUCCUCAACAGAAGGGUCUUGUUUUUUAAUUAAAAAAAAAACAAAAAUAAAAAGAGGUGUUAUGAAAUGGUUUAAAAUGUGUUCCAUUCAAAUCAUCUCAAACUGAGUCUGCCAGCAGGCUUUUGAGAUAUGCUGCCAAUUUUAUAUAUGUUGUUCUCAAGAGUUGGUAUGCCACGUAGGCAGACAAAAGGAACAAAAAAUCAUAUAAUGAUGCCUUCUUUACCUUCAACUGCACGCCGGGUUUUUGUUCCAUUCUGAUCACUCACUCAUUCAUGUCUUCUUCUUAAUGACUUAAGGCUUCCAUCUCUCUCUCUCUCUCUCUCUCUCUCUCUCUCUCUCUCUCUCUCUCUCUCUCUCUCUCUCUCUCUCUCUCUCUCUUUCUCUCACAUGGUUGACAGCCUUUGCCAAUUGGUCAGAUUCAAAGCUGUGUGAUUGCUGACUACCACCACCACCACCCAUGGCAGCCCAAUACACCUCUUUCUCAUUUCAUCCAUUAAAAGUGAUUGGAGACCAAUGUAAUCAGUGAUGGGGCAAGAAAGAAAAGGUUUUUCUUUUUCAGUUGGAUCAAACAUUCUAAUGUUAGGAAACAAAAUUGUAUUGUUUAGGCCCCUCUUAA